rnacentral:lncRNA from 1 species
UAUUUGAAUACUUGGUUUCUAGUAGUUGCUGGGAAGGAUUAGGAAGUGUGGCCUUGUUGGAAGAAAUAUGUCACUGGGGGCCUGCUUUCAAGUCUCAAAAAACUCUGGCCAUUUCUAAUUAGCUUUCUUUGUCUCCAGCUUUUGGCUCGAGUUUUCUCAGCUCUGGCUCCAGCCACCAGCCUGCUACUUCUGAACCUUCAUCGUGAACUCUAACCUUUGAAGUCCUAAGCCCAAAAACCUCUUCUGUAAGUCUUGGUUUGAAGUACGCUUUAUUAAAUAUUAAAUGCUGACCAAGAGAUCAGCUUCGG